AGUGAGGAAUAUUGGUCAAUGGGCGGAAGCCUGAACCAGCCAUGCCGCGUGCGGGAGGAAGGCCCUACGGGUCGUAAACCGCUUUUCCCCGGGACGAACGGCCCCCUCGUGAGGGGGUAUGCCGGUACCGGGGGAAUAAGGAUCGGCUAACUCCGUGCCAGCAGCCGCGGUAAUACGGAGGAUCCUAGCGUUAUCCGGAUUUACUGGGUUUAAAGGGUGCGUAGGCGGAGCGCUAAGUCUGCGGUGAAAGGCGGCGGCUCAACCGUCGGACUGCCGUGGAUACUGGCGCUCUUGAAUUCGGUCGGGGCGGGUGGAAUUCGUGGUGUAGCGGUGAAAUGCAUAGAUAUCACGAGGAACGCCGAUAGCGAAGGCAGCUCGCCGGGCCGGGAUUGACGCUGAGGCACGAAAGCGUGGGGAUCGAACAGGAUUAGAUACCCUGGUANUCCACGCCGUAAACGAUGAUGGCUGGGUGUUAGCCUUACGGGGCCACGGCCUGAGGG
rnacentral:rRNA from 1 species